AACGCGAAGAACCUUACCCAGGCUUGACAUGCAGCAGACAGCGCUAGAAAUAGCGUCUUCCUUCGGGACUGCUGCACAGGUGCUGCAUGGCUGUCGUCAGCUCGUGCCGUGAGGUGUUGGGUUAAGUCCCGCAACGAGCGCAACCCUUAUCGUUAGUUGCCAACAUGUGAUGGUGGGAACUCUAACGAGACUGCCUGGGUUAACCAGGAGGAAGGUGAGGAUGACGUCAAGUCCGCAUGGCCCUUAUGUCUGGGGCUACACACGUGCUACAAUGGUCGGUACAGAAGGCAGCGAAGCCGCGAGGUGAAGCAAAUCCAAAAAGCCGAUCCCAGUUCAGAUUGUAGUCUGCAACUCGACUACAUGAAGAUGGAAUUGCUAGUAAUGGCGAGUCAGCAACAUCGCCGUGAAUACGUUCCCGGGCCUUGUA
rnacentral:rRNA from 1 species